GAUGAACGCUGGCGGCGUGCCUAAUACAUGCAAGUCGAGCGAACAGAUGAGGAGCUUGCUCCUCUGACGUUAGCGGCGGACGGGUGAGUAACACGUGGAUAACCUACCUAUAAGACUGGGAUAACUUCGGGAAACCGGAGCUAAUACCGGAUAAUAUAUUGAACCGCAUGGUUCAAUAGUGAAAGACGGUUUUGCUGUCACUUAUAGAUGGAUCCGCGCCGCAUUAGCUAGUUGGUAAGGUAACGGCUUACCAAGGCAACGAUGCGUAGCCGACCUGAGAGGGUGAUCGGCCACACGGGAACUGAGACACGGUCCAGACUCCUACGGGAGGCAGCAGUAGGGAAUCUUCCGCAAUGGGCGAAAGCCUGACGGAGCAACGCCGCGUGAGUGAUGAAGGUCUUCGGAUCGUAAAACUCUGUUAUUAGGGAAGAACAAAUGUGUAAGUAACUAUGCACGUCUUGACGGUACCUAAUCAGAAAGCCACGGCUAACUACGUG
rnacentral:rRNA from 1 species